rnacentral:lncRNA from 1 species
UUUUUAAUGCAUUUGAGAGAUUUAAUACAUCAUAUAAUAUUCAUAUGAGGUCAAUUAAUUAUGUGAUAUAUUACAAUUAAAAAUAAAAAUAACGAGUAAAAUAAGAUGAUAUAAUAAAUAAAAAAUAUAAUUAAUUUGGACGCUUUACAUAUUAAGUGGUAACUUUAUGUCUACUUCUCAUGUUCUUAUUUGCUCUCAUAAUCACUUAGAAGUAAACAAAACAAAUGUAGACACACUUUAGUGGAAUAAAACAGUAAACAAACAAACAUGAGAGUGUCCAUCAUGCAAAGUGUUGGAUAUCAUAUUUGUUUAAUUGUUAUGUUUAUUCUUUGGUUAAUUCUCAAUUAGUUGGUUAAUGAGUUUUAUGUGAACUUUGGGUUAGUUGUUGGUAACUUAGACGUGUUAGUUAGUUAUCCUUUAUAUAUAUACUUUACUUUUACUUUUUUCCAAUGAAAUAGUUUCAUUUUAUUUAAUAAUAUGGUAUAACCGACAACAAUUUCUCUUUUUUCUCCCUCUGUAGUUAAAGGUUUCUCUUUAAAGUGAUUAUCCCCUAUAAACUAAUGAAAUUAAAAAGGUUAUAGAAAGACACAAAAGAGAAUUGAUGAAACUCAUAGUGAGGUGUAUAUGAGAUGAAAAAAUAGAGGGUGGUGUCACUAACAUGGAGAUUGGGUGUGACAAAUGGCGUUUUAACCUUUCAGGUUGUUUUUUUACAAUGCAAAGAGACAUAACAUCAGCAAAAUAAAGGAAAAAGAGUCCAUACAACAUGGUUCUUGGUUGUAGUGGGGGAGAAAAUGAAAAGAUGAAUUACUUUUUAGGUACAAAGGCUAGACAAUUGCUAACAUUGCGACCUACGUUCACUUUUGUUGUCACGUGACUUUUUUAACGAUACAUUUAAUUUACAUUGUUUAAUUUAAUACAAUUGAUAAUUGCUAACAUAUUGAUAUUGACCAACCCUACAUGAAAAUUAAUGAGCUUCAAGAACUAUGAGUGGAAAUGUCAUUGACUAGAGAUAGAGCUAUGAAGCUAAAUGAGCAAUUGAAGAAACAAAUUGUUAAUUUUCUUAGUCUUAAGACCUAUGACAAGAUUGAUCCACAUCAUAUUAGUUUCUUGCUCAUAGAAAUACCUUAAGACUUAUUUUUAAUUUUGGAAUGUAAUAAUCAUACCUUUUAAUUAGGAAUUAUGUUGACUUGUGUGUGCGCCUAAAUAUUUGGUCGAUUAGGCACAAUGUCAUUAGAUAUGUGUAACCUAAACACCACAUCAUUUUUGUUAGGUUAUAUAUGCAUUUUCAUUAUAAAACAUGGGAUAACCUAUGCACAAUGUCAUUAGUUAUGAGUAACCUAGGAUGAACACAAAAUGGGAAAACAUGACUUCAUACUUUAGAGAAUUAAUUUGUGUUUGAUUUCCUUUCGUUUUGGAUAUAUAUUUGUGUUCCUCUAUUGGUAGAGGAUAAGUAAAUAUCAUUAUAUAUUUUGCACAUAUUUUGCUCAACUAAUUUGAGUUUGAUUUCUUUUCCUUUUUAUAUAUAUUUGUGUUUGUCUAAAUUUUCCAAAAUCAUAUGAAAUUUUAUGUUUAAGAAAUUAUUGCAU